rnacentral:rRNA from 1 species
GACGACGCUGGCGGCAGGCCUAACACAUGCAAGUCGAGCGAGCGGCGGACGGGUGAGUAAUGUAUGGGGAACUGCCCGAUAGAGGGGGAUAACUAAUGGAAACGGUAGCUAAUACCGCAUACUAUCGGAUGAACCCAUAUGGGAUUAGCUAGUAUGUGGGGUAAAGGCUCACCUAGGCGACGAUCUCUAGCUGGUCUGAGAGGAUGAUCAGCCACACUGGGACUGAGACACGGUCCAUACUCCUACGGGAGGCAGCAGUGGGGAAUAUUGCCCAAUGGGCGCAAGCCUGAUGCAGCCAUGCCGCGGGUAUGAAGAAGGCCUUAGGGUUGUAAAGUACUUUCAGCGGGGAGGCGUUACCCGCAGAAGAAGCACCGGCUAACUCCGUGCCAGCAGCCGCGGUAAUUC